rnacentral:rRNA from 1 species
GAGUUUGAUCUUGGCUCAGGAUGAACGCUGGCGGCGUGCUUAACACAUGCAAGUCGAACGGAACUUGUAAGUGGAAGUCUUCGGAUGGAAACUUACUUGUUUAGUGGCGGACGGGUGAGUAACGCGUGGGUAACCUGCCUUACACAGGGGGGAUAACAGCCGGAAACGGCUGCUAAUACCGCAUAAGCGCACAGCUUCGCAUGGAGUGGUGUGAAAAGAUUUUAUCGGUGUAAGAUGGACCCGCGUCUGAUUAGCUAGUUGGUGGGGUAACGGCCUACCAAGGCAACGAUCAGUAGCCGGCUUGAGAGAGUGAACGGCCACAUUGGGACUGAGACACGGCCCAAACUCCUACGGGAGGCAGCAGUGGGAAUAUUGCACAAUGGGCGAAAGCCUGAGUGCAGCGACGCCGCGUGAGUGAAGAAGUAUUUCGGUAUGUAAAGCUCUAUCAGCAGGGACGAAUAAAUGACGGUACCUGACUAAGAAGCCCGGCUAAGUACGUGCCAGCCGCCGCCGUAAC